AAUUGAAGUUUCUGCGGCAGUUAACUGCCAAAGUUUUUCUCGGUAGUUAACUGCCGAGGGACAU
rnacentral:pre_miRNA from 1 species